rnacentral:rRNA from 1 species
GAUGAACGCUGGCGGCAUGCCUAAUACAUGCAAGUCGGACGGGAAGGGGUGUUUCUUGUGGCGCUUGGGUGAGUAACGCGCGAGAACGUGACCCGUGGAUGGGAACCCCAGCAGGAAAGGGCUGCUAAUACAACGGAGGCCGAGUAGCAAAUGGAGGAAUCCGCCUGAGGAGGGGCACGUGACUGAUGAGCUAGCUUGUGAGGCAAUAGCUUACCGAGGCGAUGAUCAGUUGCUGGGCGGAGAGGAUGAUCAGCCACACUGUGACGGAGACACGGGCCAGGCUCCUUCGGGAAGCAGGAGAGGGCAGUUUGCCGCAAUGCGCGAGAGUGUAACAGGGCAUUGGCGCGUGGAGGUAGAAGGUCUACGGGUCGUGAACUUCUUAUCCCAAAGAAGAAGCAGUGACGGUAUCUGAGGAGAAAGCAACGGCUAACUAUGUG